CCAAUAGCGUAUAUUAAAGUUGUUGCAGUUAAAAAGCUCGUAGUUGAAUUUCGGGGUUAGUAGGUUGGUCAUGCCUCUGGUAUGUACUGGUCUCACUGAUUCCUCCUUCCUUAUGAACCGUAAUGCCAUUAAUUUGGUGUUGCGGGGAAUUUGGACUGUUACUUUGAAAAAAUUAGAGUGUUUAAAGCAAGCUAACGCUUGAAUACAUUAGCAUGGAAUAAUGAAAUAGGACGUUCGAUCUUAUUUUGUUGGUUUCUAGGAUUGACGUAAUGAUUAAUAGGGAUAGUUGGGGGCAUUAGUAUUCAAUUGUCAGAGGUGAAAUUCUUGGAUUUAUUGAAGACUAACUACUGCGAAAGCAUUUGCCAAGGAUGUUUUCAUUAAUCAAGAACGAAAGUUAGGGGAUCGAAGACGAUCAGAUACCGUCGUAGUCUUAACCAUAAACUAUGCCGACUAGGGAUCGGAUGAUGUUAAUUUUUUAAUGACUCAUUCGGCGCCUUACA
rnacentral:rRNA from 1 species